UCUCGUCCCGCCCGGCCUCAGAGGAGGAGACCAGGGUGAGGCUGAAAUGGAACAGCACAUGUCUCUGGUCACCUCUGUCACCACUCUACUGACCCCAUGGCACCUUCCAUGUGGCACUGACCACAGGUCAGCAUUGAGAAGGGUGACAAGGAUGUGCCAGGCCAGGGGCCGCAGUGCCGAGAAGAAGACAGAGGCGGUGGUGAUGUCAACCAAGAAAUUAAGUAAGCAGAGGAGCUGAUAACGCUGCCCAGCAAGGCCACCUGCGGGCAAGGUGACUCAUCGAGACGGGACCCACAUCACAGGCCCCAGGGGCGCCACGUACUGUCAUCCAAGUUGAGAACUGUACAACUGGAGGGGGCACCAUUCACUUUACAAUGUAUGUGCCAGACCGCAUGGCUGUGCUGGGUGGCCCUGCCCCUUCUCAUUUCUAAAUUACGUCCCACUCCUCUGCCUAGAAUUAUCUAUUUAGCUGGUCCUUCAUAAAUUUGUCUUCACACCAG